CCCUUAGAUGUUCUGGGCCGCACGCGCGCUACAAUGAUGAAUUCAACGAGUUUAUAACCUUGGUUGAAAAGCCUGGGUAAUCUUUUGAACUUUCGUCGUGAUGGGGCUAGACCCUUGCAAUUAUUGGUCUCCAACGAGGAAUUCCUAGUAAACGCAAGUCAUCAGCUUGCAUUGAUUACGUCCCUGCCCUUUGUACACACCGCCCGUCGCACCUACCGAUUGAAUGGUCCGGUGAAAUCUUCGGACCGUGACCUUGAUUUGUUUACUCAAAACGCUGUUACGGGAAGUUGAUUAAACCUUACCAUUUAGAGGAAGGUGAAGUCGUAACA
rnacentral:rRNA from 1 species